UACGUAGGGUGCGAGCGUUAAUCGGAAUUACUGGGCGUAAAGCGUGCGCAGGCGGUUCGUUAAGUUCGUUGUGAAAGCCCCGGGCUCAACCUGGGAACUGCAAUGGAAACUGGCGGGCUUGAGUGUGGCAGAGGGGGGUGGAAUUCCGCGUGUAGCAGUGAAAUGCGUAGAGAUGCGGAGGAACACCGAUGGCGAAGGCAGCCCCCUGGGCCAACACUGACGCUCAGGCACGAAAGCGUGGGUAGCAAACAGG
rnacentral:rRNA from 1 species